AGUGUUGCUUAAUAUAUUGUUCACGUCAGUCACACUAGUUCCCAAACCCAAAAACUACAAUAACUACAAAAACUUUUCGUUUUGUAAAUCACUUUUGAAAAAUCGACUUCAUCAAGUAGUUUACUGUGUACAAGCUGAAUAGAUAAAUAGCAUCAUGAAAUUAUUUAAUAUAACAAUAUAUUUGAUAUAUAUUGCAUUAUGUGUCCUUUCAUUCGGCCAUAUUAUCUCACUAGCUCAAGAAGACGUUGGCUAUAAACCAUUUGACGGUAAUCUUGUUAAGGAAUCUGAUAACACCCGACCAAUUUGAAAUAAAACACGACACACAAUUUUCAUUAAGUAUAUAUAAUGAUCUAUAAAAUAGUAACAGAAAAAUUAUAAAUAAUAAAAAAAAUGUAUCUUUGAUUUUAGUAAAAUAAUAUAACAAUGAAUGAUUUUAAAAGAAAACACAUAACUGUAAAUACACGUGUGAAAUUUAACUAAAAUAUUAUAAUUUAAAAUUAAUAUGUCUAUUAUUACCUGUAACUUGGAAGUUCUUCUUAUAUAAAAUAAAAUUUAAAAAGCCUUGUUGGUACUAGAAAUAUAGUCACUCUGAAAGUAAUUUAAGAUCUUCGUAUUUAAUUUAUUUUAUUAAAGUUAGUUUCUAAAAAUGUGUUCAGAAAAUAACGAGAUUUUUUUGUUUUAAUAAUAUUAUAUCGACCGAUUAAUAAAUCAUAUUAUCAUGCAACUAA